rnacentral:tRNA from 2 species
GGGUCGUUAGCCUGUCGCUUAUUUUAUAAAGCGAGGGCAGUAGGCUUUUAACCAAUCAAUCGAAUGGUUUAAAUCCUUCACGAUUCGCCA